GUAUUUUGUAGUAUAUUUCCUCCAUCUAGUUUAUGUGUAAAAGAGUGUUAACAAGAAUAAUACUAACAAGAAAGGACAAUUCAUACAAAUAACAAAAUAAUAUAUAGUUUCUACUGACCAAUAGUUAUCUCUUGUCAGAUUUAUAUGCACCAAUCAAUUUUUAAUUUUUGGAUUUGAAUUUUUGAACUCUUUUAUAUUCAAUUUCUUCCUAACUCUGAAUGGAAUUUGCUCCCUUGUGUAAAUUUUCCAUAAACAU
rnacentral:lncRNA from 1 species